rnacentral:tRNA from 1 species
UGUUUAGCUCAGUUGGUAGAGCAACUGAUUUGUAAUCAGUAGGUCGGGAGUUCGAGUCUCUCAACA